CACACACAAACACAGUCUGGGAGAGGAGGAGAAGCAACAGGAGCCAUCUGACACUGUGGGACGGGAGAAGGCUGUUACUAACUGUCCCUUGUCACCAUGUCGGACUGCGGAUGCGAGGGACUGCCUAUGGUGCUCCACAACGAGAGGCCGAUUGUGAUUUCUGUGCAUAAUGUGUCACUGAAUCUACUCUAAGCGGUGUCCUAUUCCAGAGGGGAACCUGAGUCAUCUAGUUUCUCCCGACAUGACAUCAGCAACAAAUGGGCAAGCCCAUACCACAGUCAUCCCAGGGCAAGAAACAAAGGAUGAGAAGGUUGAAGAGGUGCAAGAUAGAGGCAAAGGGGAUGAUCUGUCUUUUGAAAGAGGCCCAACCCCCUCUGUACUCGUCCACAGUCAGUGAAAGGCCGGGGCCGGGGAAGGCUGUCCAAGGCAUUAUCCAAACACUCACACGCACGCACACGCACACGCUCUCUCUCUCUCUCUCUCUCUCUCUCUCUCUCUCUCUCUCUCUCUCUC